rnacentral:rRNA from 1 species
UGGGGAAUAAUGCACAAUGGAGGGAACUCUGAUGCAGCGACGCCGCGUGAGUGAUGAAGGAAUUCGUUUCGUAAAACUCUGUUCUAUGGGAAGAAAAGGACUGUACCAUAGGAGAAAGCUCCGGCUAAAUACGUGCCAGCAGCCGCGGUAAUACGUAUGGAGCGAGCGUUGUCCGGAAUUAUUGGGCGUAAAGGGUGCGCAGGCGGCUUUACAAGUUGGAUGUGAAAUAUUGUGGCUCAACCACAAACGUGCAUCCAAAACUGCAAAGCUUGAGUUAAGGAGAGGUAAGUGGAAUUCCUGGUGUAGCGGUGGAAUGCGUAGAUAUCAGGAGGAAUACCGGUGGCGAAGGCGACUUACUGGACUUAAACUGACGCUCAGGCACGAAAGCGUGGGGAGCAAACAGG